AAGUCGUAACAAGGUCUCCGUUGGUGAACCAGCGGAGGGAUCAUUAGAGAGUAUAACAACUCCCAACCCAUGUGAACUUACCUAUCGUUGCCUCGGCGGGGAGAGGUUGCCCGCUAAUGCCUACCCGGGGCUUGCUACCCGGUACGGCAGGGUGCCUCCCGCCGCCGCAGGCCCGAAAAACUCUGUUUUAUUUUGCAACUCUGAAUCUUAAAACAAAUAAGUUAAAACUUUCAACAACGGAUCUCUUGGUUCUG
rnacentral:misc_RNA from 1 species